rnacentral:rRNA from 1 species
AAAUAAACAUAAAUGAAUCAAAACUUUCAACAACGGAUCUCUUGGUUCUGGCAUCGAUGAAGAACGCAGCGAAAUGCGAUAAGUAAUGUGAAUUGCAGAAUUCAGUGAAUCAUCGAAUCUUUGAACGCACAUUGCGCCCUCUGGUAUUCCGGAGGGC